CUCUUUAAAAAAGGAAACUUCAUUUGUAUGACUUGCAAUUGUAAAUGACACCAAUUGGCCAGUUAUCAUUCAAAUUCUCUGUUACUUAAUCCUGCCUUUUCCUAACGUAUGCAACUUUCCCCUAAAAAAUUGGACACUUUGUUGCUUACUCAUUGUCUUUACACAUUUUAAAAUGUUGCUUUAUGCCCCCAAUCCCUAACUACAUUUUCAAUGUUUUGCAAGUGGAGUCCAUGUGUUCUUGAUUUACAUGAAACUCAAAAUAAUGGUUAUAGUAACUAGUACUUCAUAAUUAAG
rnacentral:lncRNA from 1 species